rnacentral:rRNA from 1 species
UACGGAGGGUGCAAGCGUUAUCCGGAUUCACUGGGUUUAAAGGGUGCGUAGGUGGGCAGGUAAGUCAGUGGUGAAAUCUCCGGGCUUAACCCGGAAACUGCCAUUGAUACUAUUUGUCUUGAAUACUGUGGAGGUCAGCGGAAUAUGUCAUGUAGCGGUGAAAUGCUUAGAUAUGACAUAGAACACCAAUUGCGAAGGCAGCUUACUAAGGUGCAAUUGACGCUGAGGCACGAAAGCGUGGGGAUCAAACAGG